UACGGGGGGGUAAGCGUUGUUCGGAAUUACUGGGCGUAAAGGGCUCGUUGGCGGCCAACUAAGUCGGACGUGAAAUCCCUCAGCUUAACUGGGGAACUGCGUCCGAUACUGGAUGGCUUGGAUUUGGGAGAGGGAUGCGGAAUUCCAGGUGUAGCGGUGAAAUGCGUAGAUAUCUGGAGGAACACCGGUGGCGAAGGCGGCAUCCUGGACCACGACUGACGCUGAGUGAGCGAAAGCCAGGGGAGCAAACGGG
rnacentral:rRNA from 1 species